AUGUGACAUGCAGUAACCUCUCCCAGAGAGGGCGGUCUACCCUGCUGUCACAAUCAAAUGCUUGUCUGUGCUGUACUCCAUGUUAAUAUGUAACAUGAUAAGGGGAUGUAGCACAGCUAAUUCUUUAUUAGUUGCCAUGGAGACCCUUGGCCUCAGCACAAAGAGGCUCUUCCUGGGCAGUGACAUCAUUCAAGGGUGGAUCCUUCCUAAGUUGUUUAACUCCUCACUUGCUGCCUUAGGACCACAGAGAUCAUAUGUCUAUGAGUCAGGAAUCUGUCUGUUUUGAAUUCACACAAUUUUCUUUUUCACAACUGGAAAACAUAAAAUAACAAAACUAAUUAAGUCUUUGUACCAUAUGAUAUCUUGUACCCAAGUCUUGGAAAAUCACACAGCAAAAAACUGAAUACCAUGGUUCUGGAUAACAAAAUAAGGAGAAGAUUGCUCACAGACUGAUCAUGAGCCCCACAACGAACAUUGAACAAUGAACAUUGAAGAAUGCUGAAAAUCUGCAUCUUAUCAGUUUAUCUUCUUUAUUAAAUAAUUUUCUUUUCCAUUUUUGAAGCAGCUGGUAUUAAGUAUAACAUAAAUAUGUUUACUUUUUUGAAAUGGAGGAUCAGUUUGAAUAUGCUAGCACAUCCUUGAUGUAGGACAGCUGGGAGUGGAUUUUAAUACCUAGAUAUACUUCAUUACGUAUUGGAACAGUUAUAUACUAGAAUGAUUUCCUUAUUUAGAUGAAAAUAAACUGAAUUUGUUACUGAAAACAUUUUAGUAAGUUACCUUUUUUUUAAAAGUAUUACUCGGAUACCUCUCGGAAUGCCUUCUGUGUGGAGUCUGCAUGUCCUCCCCAUGGUUGGGUGGGUGCUCGAAAGACAUGCG